rnacentral:lncRNA from 1 species
UCUCCCUGUUUUCAGCACACACAACUUCCCAUUUCCUGUGUGUAAUAUUUAUUUGCUUGUAUUUUUUAAAUUUAUCGUUACAAUUUUAAAUUUAACCAUAUAUAUACAUAUAGGUAUGGAUACUCUCAGCCAUUUGUAUACGUGAAGUUUCAGCCUAGGUGCAUCCUUCUUGUACUUUCACUACCUUGUCUUUUUCUCUUAACAAAUCUCACGUCAUGAUAUUGUACAUAGAGAUACUGCAUUCUCCUUCUUACAGCAGCAUCGGACACUGUUGUGGAUAUCCUGCCGUUUAGUGGCUGCACAAGUGGAUACUGAGAAUAGCUCCAUCAGGGUCUGUUCAGACAAAAGCAUGGAUCCCCGAGUGAAGCCACGGGAAUACGCAGUGGAAGACCUACCUGGGCUGGAAUCAGCAGGCAUGCAGCCAUUGCUGACUCUCAGGGCUGUGUUUACCCAACAGAGCUGUGUAAGAUUCAGCAGAAGCAGCCCUUUUUGCAUUGCUUUGAUCACGUAGGAUUUAGAAUGCUUAUUUUCUCAUUAGUUAUUCUCUCUUUGUGAGAAAAGCAUUAACUUCAUUAACUGGCUCUGACAAACCAAUUUGCUUUUAACAGCUGUACUCAAAACCAGAUACCAUGCUCUGCAGUCGUGGUUUUCAUCUGAAUCACAUAACUGAGUAUAAAUACACCUGUCAAUUGCUUCAUCUCUCCAAUAAUUCUGGAGACAUUUUCUUGCUAUGUAUCAAUAAAACCUUAAAUAAAAUAGACGAGAGCCUGUGAUGUCAUUUGGCACAGGUAUACCAUGACUCCGGUGUAACAUGCAACUGGA